GGAUAUAGCUCAGUUGGUAGAGUGCUUGCCUUGCAUGUACUAGGCCCUGGGUUCAAUCCCCAGCACCA
rnacentral:tRNA from 1 species